rnacentral:rRNA from 1 species
CCCUUAGACGUUCUGGGCCGCACGCGCGCUACACUGACCAGUGCAACAAGCAUCCGUCCUUGACCGACAGGCUCGGGCAAUCUUUGAACGCUGGUCGUGAUGGGGAUAGACUUUUGCAAUUUUUGGUCUUCAACGAGGAAUUCCUAGUAAACGCAAGUCAUCAACUUGCAUUGAUUACGUCCCUGCCCUUUGUACACACCGCCCGUCGCACCUACCGAUUGAAUGGUCCGGUGAAGCCUCCGGAUUGGCGCGCACCUCGGUGCCGCCGAGAAGUUGGCUAAACCUUACCAUUUAGAGGAAGGUGAAGUCGUAACA